rnacentral:rRNA from 1 species
UACCAGCACCCCGAGUGGUCGGGACGAUUAUUGGGCCUAAAGCAUCCGUAGCCGGUCCUACAAGUCUUCCGUUAAAUCCACCUGCUCAACAGAUGGGCUGCGGAAGAUACUAUAGGGCUAGGAGGCGGGAGAGGCAAGCGGUACUCGAUGGGUAGGGGUAAAAUCCGUUGAUCCAUUGAAGACCACCAGUGGCGAAGGCGGCUUGCCAGAACGCGCUCGACGGUGAGGGAUGAAAGCUGGGGGAGCAAACCGG